rnacentral:rRNA from 1 species
UCGCGAACAGGAUUAGAUACCCCAGUAGUCAAAGCAGAAAAUGAUGAAUGUCAUAUAUUAGACAUAUAAUAGUUUAUUAUAUAAAUGAAAGUGUAAGCAUUCCACCUCAAGAGUAAUUUGGCAACAUUGGAACUGAAAUCAUUAGACCGUUUCUGAAACCAGUAGUGAAGUAUGUUGUUUAAUUUGAUGAUCCGCAAAAAACCUUACCACAAUUUGAAUAUUUAUAUUUUUCUUAAUAAUCCUUUUAUAGAUAAAAAAAAAAGACAUUAGUAAGAAAAAUAUCUUUACAAGCGUUGCACGGCUGUCUUCAGUUAAUGUCGUGAGAUUUUGGUUAGUUCCAUUAAAUUAACGUAAACCCUUACUUUAUUUUUAUAUAAAGUUGUUCUCCACUAGAUUGGAUAAGAUAACAGGGACUAAGACAAGUCAUCAUGGCCUGA